AUUGAACGCUGGCGGCAGGCCUUACACAUGCAAGUCGAGCGGAGUGGCGGACGGGUGAGUAAUGCAUAGGAAUGUGCCCAGUCGUGGGGGAUAACUACCGGAAAGGGGAGCUAAUACCGCAUACUCUUAGAUGAGCCUAUGUCGGAUUAGCUAGUUGGGGGGGUAACGGCUUACCAAGGCGACGAUCCGUAACUGGUCUGAGCGGACGAGCAGACACACUGGGACGUAGACACGGUCCAGACUCCGACGGGAGGCAGCAGUGGGGAAUAUUGGACAAUGGGCGAAAGUCUGAUCCAGCCAUGCCGAGUGUGGGAAGAAGGUCUUCGGGUUGUAAAGCACUGUAGGUUGGGAAGCGGUACCUACAGAAUAAGCACCGGCUAACUACGUGCCAGCAGCCGCGGUAAUUC
rnacentral:rRNA from 1 species